AUUGAACGCUGGCGGAAUGCUUUACACAUGCAAGUCGAACGGUAGAGGGGGCAACCCCUCGAGAGUGGCGAACGGGUGAGUAAUAUAUCGGAGCGUGCCCAGUCGUGGGGGAUAACGUAGCGAAAGUUACGCUAAUACCGCAUACGAUCUAAGGAUGAAAGCGGGGGAUCGCAAGACCUCGCGCGAUUGGAGCGGCCGAUAUCAGAUUAGGUAGUUGGUGGGGUAAAGGCCCACCAAGCCAACGAUCUGUAGCUGGUCUGAGAGGACGACCAGCCACACUGGAACUGAGACACGGUCCAGACUCCUACGGGAGGCGGCAGUGGGGAAUUUUGGACAAUGGACGCAAGUCUGAUCCAGCCAUUCCGCGUGCAGGAUGAAGGCCCUCGGGUUGUAAACUGCUUUUGUACGGAACGAAAAGGUCUCUCUUAAUACGGGGGACUCAUGACGGUACCGUAAGAAUAAGCACCGGCUAACUACGUGCCAGCCGCCGCCGUAACAC
rnacentral:rRNA from 1 species